UGGCUGAGUUGGUAGAGCAUGGUGCUUUCAAUGCUAGUGUUGUGGGUUAGAUUCCCAC
rnacentral:tRNA from 1 species